UACAGGGGGGGCAGGCGUUGUUCGGAAUUACUGGGCGUAAAGGGCCAGUAGGCGGCCAACUAAGUCCGACGUGAAAUCCCCAGGCUUAACCUGGGAACUGCGUCGGAUACUGGAUGGCUUGAAUUCGGGAGAGGGAUGCAGAAUUCCAGGUGUAGCGGUGAAAUGCGUAGAUAUCUGGAGGAAUACCGGUGGCGAAGGCGGCUCACUGGCCCGAUACUGACGCUGAGGCACGAAAGCGUGGGGAGCAAACAGG
rnacentral:rRNA from 1 species